rnacentral:rRNA from 1 species
UACAGAGGUCUCAAGCGUUGUUCGGAUUCAUUGGGCGUAAAGGGUGCGUAGGUGGCGCUGUAAGUCGGGUGUGAAAUUUCGGAGCUUAACUCCGAAACUGCAUUCGAUACUGCGGUGCUUGAGGACUGGAGAGGAGACUGGAAUUCAUGGUGUAGCAGUGAAAUGCGUAGAUAUCAAGUGGAACACCAGUGGCGAAGGCGAGUCCCUGGACAACACCUGACACUGAGGCACGAAAGCCGGGGGAGCAAACAGG